rnacentral:rRNA from 1 species
UACAGAGGGUGCAAGCGUUAAUCGGAAUUACUGGGCGUAAAGCGUGCGUAGACGGUUAUGUAAGUCGGGUGUGAAAGCCCCGGGCUCAACCUGGGACCUGCAUUUGUGACUGCAUCGCUGGAGUGCGGCAGAGGGGGAUGGAAUUCCGCGUGUAGCAGUGAAAUGCGUAGAUAUGCGGAGGAACACCGAUGGCGAAGGCAAUCCCCUGGGCCUGCACUGACGCUCAUGCACGAAAGCGUGGGGAGCAAACAGG